GUGGGGAAUCUUGCGCAAUGGGCGAAAGCCUGACGCAGCCAUGCCGCGUGAAUGAUGAAGGUCUUAGGAUUGUAAAAUUCUUUCACCGGGGACGAUAAUGACGGUACCCGGAGAAGAAGCUCCGGCUAACUUCGUGCCAGCAGCCGCGGUAAUACGAAGGGGGCUAGCGUUGCUCGGAAUUACUGGGCGUAAAGGGCGCGUAGGCGGACAGCUUAGUCAGAGGUGAAAGCCCAGGGCUCAACCUUGGAAUUGCCUUUGAUACUGGCUGUCUUGAGUUUGGGAGAGGUGAGUGGAACUCCGAGUGUAGAGGUGAAAUUCGUAGAUAUUCGGAAGAACACCAGUGGCGAAGGCGACUCACUGGCCCAAUACUGACGCUGAGGCGCGAAAGCGUGGGGAGCAAACAGGAUUAGAAACCCGAGUGUCC
rnacentral:rRNA from 1 species